rnacentral:lncRNA from 1 species
UAUGCUCAUAGAAAUUACGAAAUUUGCAAAUUUUUUCGUUUUGAAAGAAAAGGGAAAAAUAUAUAGAAGUAUUCCCUGUAUACAUAUAUAUAUAUUUUUUUUUUUUUUUUAAAAGUUAAAAGUUAAAAGUUAAAAGUUAAAAGUUAAAAAUUAAAAAUUAAAAAUUAAAAAAACAGAAAAAUAAUAAAACAAAAAAUAAAACCCUUAUAUAGAUUUAUAAACAAAAGUGUAUUUAUUUUUACCCCAAAAUUACAACUCAUGAUGUCACAUAUAUAUGUGAUGUUAUGAAAAUGAAGAUAUUUAGUAUAUGUUUUAUUAUUAUAGCAACAUAACAAAAAUAAAACUGAUAUAUAGUUUUUGCUAAUUUUACAAAAACCAGCUUUUAAAUUUUACAAAUUCAUAUAUUUUACAAGUUAUAUAAAUGUAUAUAUAACUAUUUAACUUAACGUUUUUUUUUUUUUUUUUUUUUUUUUUUUUUUUUUUAUUUUUUGCAAUAUUGCAAAAUAACAUUUAAAAAUAAAGUAAAAAAAAAUUAUAUAUGACUGUUUGGAAAUAUUUACGCAUAUUCGUUUGUUUAUACACAUUUACAUAUGCUUCCUCAUGUUGAAAUUGUUUUUGUUAAUUACAAUUUUUUAUUUUUCAUUUUCCAUUUGUACAACAUAAGCAAAUAUAAAUGAAUAUAUAUAUAUAUAUAUAUAUAUAUAUAUAUAUAUAUAUAUAUAUAUAUAUAUAUAUAUGUUAUUUUUGUAUUAACGCUGAAUUAUUAAUAAAACAUAAUUUUUUAUUUAUACUAAUUAUUUUAUACAUAAUCUAUAAAUUAUCGUUAUAAAAAAAGAAAAUGUGAUUAUAACAUCACAUGUAUAGUUAUAUAUAUAUAUGCCUAUAAAAUGUUAUUAAAUAUAGAUUUAAGUUUUUUUUUAAAAAGUUGUCAAAAUAUGCAAACCAGAAUGCUACCAAUGUUGCUUAAUCCAAUUUAUUUAUUGCGACCUCGUAAAAAAACACAAAGAGUUGAUCGUUGCAAGACAAAAAAACAGUAUAAGAAUAGAAGACAUUUCAAAGGAUAUUAUUACAGAUGGAUGGGAUCUUAUUAAAAUAAAAAUUAAAAUGGAAACUUAGGAAAAAUGUGU